CUGUGUUUUAACACUGUUACAUUGUUUGGUCGUGCAACUUGUCUUUUGCCAGCGCUUCGCUCCUCUUCAGCUCCACCGUCGUAUUCAAACAUGGUCACCUCCGUCUCCAGGCAGCUAAUGAGUUAGCCACAUGCUAAAUAAGCAUUUGCUAACCUCUGCUCCUCUCCAGCUCCUCCUCCAGCAUUAUAUUGAACAUCUCCUGCACAAAGUUGUUCUCAUGUAGCGCUCCUCCUCAGCUCCACCCUCUCCUCAAGUCACCUGUGGCUCCAGCGUCUCUUUGAUUCAUUCCCUCAGCGGACAGGUGGGAUCUAAAAAAGGAACAGGAGGUGAAAUCUAAAGAAGAGCCCUGAACAACAGAACAGAGGAGACAGGAAGCAGCACAGAGGACACAGACAGGAUGAGGUUGAAUGAACAGACCGACAACGAGAGAGAAGAAGAAAAGACGAGAGACAAGUGUCAAUGCUGAGACCUCAAAGCAAACAGAGGAGUCCAUUUAAAGAGGAGACGGACGAGUUUGGAGACAACAAGAGGUCGGCACAACAUUUAGAAUCAGCUGCAUAAACAGUUUGCAAAUCAAAUCUGAAUAAAUAUAGAUCCAUGAAUAAUCUUUUCUGUCAACUGUUGGUAUUUUCUCUUUAUUUUGAUGUAGGGGUCAUUUAUAUAUCCUUAAUAAUAUCACCUUGUUAAGGAAAAAAACAGGUUUUCUCAAAAAUGUUUAAUAUCCUGACUCUGAAUUAUUUAAUUUUAAGUUGAUGUUUUGCUGCUGUUAU